rnacentral:rRNA from 1 species
AGUGAACGCUGGCGGUAGGCCUAACACAUGCAAGUCGAACGGCAGCACAGUAAGAGCUUGCUCUUACGGGUGGCGAGUGGCGGACGGGUGAGGAAUACAUCGGAAUCUACUUUUUCGUGGGGGAUAACGUAGGGAAACUUACGCUAAUACCGCAUACGACCUACGGGUGAAAGCAGGGGAUCUUCGGACCUUGCGCGAUUGAAUGGGCCGAUGUCGGAUUAGCUAGUUGGCGGGGUAAAGGCCCACCAAGGCGACGAUCCGUAGCUGGUCUGAGAGGAUGAUCAGCCACACUGGAAGUGAGACACGGUCCAGACUCCUACGGGAGGCAGCAGUGGGGAAUAUUGGACAAUGGGCGCAAGCCUGAUCCAGCCAUACCGCGUGGGUGAAGAAGGCCUUCGGGUUGUAAAGCCCUUUUGUUGGGAAAGAAAAGCAGCAGGUUAAUACCCCGCUGUUCUGACGGUACCCAAAGAAUAAGCACCGGCUAACUUCGUG